rnacentral:rRNA from 1 species
GACGAACGCUGGCGGCGUGCUUAACACAUGCAAGUCGAACGGAAAGGCCCUGCUUUUGUGGGGUGCUCGAGUGGCGAACGGGUGAGUAACACGUGAGUAACCUGCCCUUGACUUUGGGAUAACUUCAGGAAACUGGGGCUAAUGCCGGAUAGGAGCUCCUGCUGCAUGGUGGGGGUUGGAAAGUUUCGGCGGUUGGGGAUGGACUCGCGGCUUAUCAGCUUGUUGGUGGGGUAGUGGCUUACCAAGGCUUUGACGGGUAGCCGGCCUGAGAGGGUGACCGGCCACAUUGGGACUGAGAUACGGCCCAGACUCCUACGGGAGGCAGCAGUGGGGAAUAUUGCACAAUGGGCGGAAGCCUAAUGCAGCAACGCCGCGUGCGGGAUGACGGCCUUCGGGUUGUAAACCGCUUUCGCCUGUGACGAAGCGUGAGUGACGGUAAUGGGUAAAGAAGCACCGGCUAACUACGUG